rnacentral:lncRNA from 1 species
AAGCAGGCCCUAAGGAGCAUUCAAAAAUCAACCGAAAGAAGAGACUAUUUUUUUGAUGUAUAAAAAGAUAUUAUUCUUUUAUUAUUCAUAUAUUGACAAAUUGGACUUGUUUCUAAAAAAAUAAAUUAGUUUUUAUAUAUUUAUAUAUUAUUUGUUUCAUAAUUUUAAAGGUUGUGAUAACAAAUAAGCUGAUUCAUUUAACGUGUUAUUGCAUCAACCAUUAUAUAGUACGACAACUCGUAAAACUUUACCUCCUUGUGUGCAAAAAUUUAGCUUUGCCCCUACAUGCCUUUUAGCAAUGAUGAGUUGUAUAUAUAUAU